rnacentral:lncRNA from 1 species
AUGAUUUUCCCCCGACACUCGGUGACAGUCCGAUCACUCACUCGAGCAUAUAUUCUGGCACCGUGUACUCGUUACCCAUAUGUGCGAGCGACUGAUACUCUAUGGUAACGGCACCCAGGAACUCGGUGUUUAAUAUGACUCGACCAUGGAUAUCAAAUGAUUUUGGAUGUCUUUGAGCUCGAUCUCGCAGCAAGUCCAUGGCCAGGUCGAUGUG